GAAAUAUCGAAAAAAUUAAGAAAAAGUUAGUAUAUAUCAUGAAUGCAUAAAAUAUAUGUAGAUACUAUCCUUACACAGGCAUAAGAAAUAAAAUCAUCAGUGUCAAGCUCUUGGUACUUGUCUGGAAAGGAACCUGGCAAUAUGAACCAAUUUACUUUUGCAUCAGCAGGAAGCAUUCCUGUGUCUACCUCAUGCUGCAAGCCAUGGAAAGGAAGGCCGGGUGCCAGUGUGAGAAGAGUUUCCUCAAAAAUGUGAGCUGUG